GAGAACCUGGGGACGCUAGGUUCCGGAACCUGACCUGAGCUGGGGCCUGUGCUUCCAGCGGGUGGUGGGGGGCCUGGUGUGCUGGCAUCAAGUAAGCCGACUACCUCGGCAAAGGCUUAGGGACAAGAGACCAGCAGCCUGAACUGGCUGGGGCAUCCGGAAGGCUUAGAUCUUGUGGCCAAGAGUUCAGACCGUGGCGAAGUGGAGAGUGACAUGCAGUUGGAUGGCGGUGACUGCGUGGUCCUGCAACCCUGGUUCCAGUCUGGCAAGCAUUGUAGACCUGGCUGCUGAAGACUGACGGGGCCCAGGGUCCGCUGCCCCCACCGCCAUCACCACCUCGGAACCCAGGGUAACGCUGUCAGUCUUUGAGCCUACGAGGAAACCAUUCGGAAGCUCCAGAACCCAGGCCCUAAUCACAACGCCCCUAUCCAGCAGGAAGCAGCCAGAUGAUCAACGACGCCCUUUUUCCUUUUUAUACUAAAGUAAGAAAUAAGAAUGUUAGCCCAAACUGCACUAUUUUGCAGACCCCUACCAUUUUACAAACUGGUCAGAGUGGAAAAUUCCACCAGGGCCUGAGCUGUGAGAAACAUCCUGUCAGGCAGGUCCCAGGCCUAACCCCUGGCUGCACUAAAUUCCUUCAUUAUCAGCAGCCAAACACACCGCCCCCACCCCAUUUUCACAACAAUCCCAGACCUCUCCUGCCCGGGACUGUAACUGGUCCAGCCUGUAAGCGGGAAGGGGGCUCUGGCACUAGCUGGUACCCCCUCUCCGCAGGUCUUUCUCCCAAUAAAUCUGUGUUGCCAUUGA
rnacentral:lncRNA from 1 species